CCCAACACCCGCGUCUCGCCCCACUCCCACCCCAGCCGCCAAAGGAACCCUAGCCCUCUUUCUCUUUCCCCUCGGUCCCCACGAGCCGCCGCACCCCUCCUCGAUCCCCACCAUCCUCUCCUCGCCAGUAGCUGCCGGCCGACCUCGUCUCUCCACUCGCCUCCUCCUCUCCUCUAUCAUGUCGUCGUCGAUCCCACCGCCAGCCUUCUCCUCUGCUUGCCUCCUCCUGUCCUCUUCCAUGUCACCGUCGAUCCAGAUUGGACGUAGGUCGUCUUCGCGGUGCGGGUGAGGAUGUAGGGGAGGUGUAGGAUGCGGACGACAAGGGAAGGAGGAGGCCGGCGAGGAAGGCAAGCAACAGCGGGGAAGGAGAAGGUGAGCGAUCCUAGCAUGGGGAAGGGGCAGGGUGAGGCCUCGCGCACCUGCCGGCGGCCGGCAGGUCGACUUGUUGCGCCACCGCGUUGUCACCUCCUCUGCACCAUGAGAGGCGCCACCCAUGCUGCAGGCCUGCAACAUUUAUAGAGGAGGAUUGCAGGUGUCGAUACAAUGGAGCAAUUUCUGGCUUUGUAGUUGGAGCAUAGCCUCGAUUAUGCAUGAUUUUGGGGUUUUGCUCUCUCCCUGUGUGCUACACAUUUCUGCUCUCCCCAGUAGCAAUUGGAUGUUAAUCUGCUAUGGGCAGCGGCGGUGCAUCAAGGUGCAAGGCAGCAGCGACAUGUUCAUAGUAUGCUAAAGGAUGAACUCCUACUUUUUCUGAUGCUAGCUCAUUGCUGCAGCCUGCUUACAUCUCCCAAGAUAUCCUCUUGGUCAAGGCAAUUGCACAUGAUGAAGCCACUCAUUUUAGUGGUAUACCACACUCUGAGCAAUAGGACCAAAAACAGGAAGAUAAAUUUUCACAAUUCGAUACUUCAUAUUUUCCAGAAGAUAUGCAUUGUGCUUAAACAUGAGUGCUUGCUCGCCGAACAUUGGCCCUCGGAUGAAUUCGGCGCUUGAAUCGAGCUGACGAGCCCCAUGGGGGUGAGAGGCGGAUAACAAUAUGAGAAGGAGCAUGCCAUGGAGGAGUGCAAGCAGCGGCACUCCUCCGCAAUGGGGUAUGGCUGCAGGGGAGGGGACGCAGCCAACGACAGGAAGAAGAAGCAGGUCGUCGAGGACUACAAGCAGCAGGUUUCCUUUGACUGGAAGUCUGAAACUGAAGAUAGGGCAUAUUGUUUUGGUUCUGAGUGGCCGGAGAUAUUGUUGCUUGAUGUCCCUAGAGCACUCGGACCCUUCCAAGAUAGAAGAUCUUUGGGAUUGACGUUCUGAUGAGAAAGUAGCAUACGGAUGGAUUGACAUGAACUAUUCAGUGGUCGAACUGCGCUAUAUUUCUUUCAUUGAGGCGAGGGUGAUUCCAGUAGAUUUUGCUUGGCGUACUCGCCUUUUUUAUUGAAGUUGGGUGUCCGUCUUCUCUGCGGCAAGGAUCUAGGGAGUCAGAUUGCGGAUUACAUGUAGUGGGGAAGUAGAGAGGGGGACGAGGAAGAGGACACCGUCGGUGGCGUGCUAUAUCUCACUAGGCGACAAUGUUGAGAGGGUGCCUGGCAUCAAGAACCCGACAUGCUUUUCCGAGUGUUCGUUGAGGUGAGCCACCUGGGCCAGUCUAUGGGUUGAGGUGGUUUGAUAAUCCUGGAUUGUUCCUCUUUUUCCUGCGUUUUUUCAAGAAAUGACUUUAUUUAUUGGAAAAUGGCAAUAUCGUUUACAAGUAUACAUGAAACAAACUAUUUUUCCUACACCUCUUUGUUCUGUGUAAUGGUGCUCUUGGUUGAGUGUGCUGACGAAAGAGAUUCCAUGCUACAGGCUAGAUCUAUGCUGUCGCGGCAACACAGGCCAAUACACAUUCAGGAAAUAUGUCACCAACUUCCCCAAGGUCCCGCAUCGUCUACUCAGGAUAUUCUGUGCCCCAAGCCCUACAGAAUAAUGCCCAGUCUAAUUUCAGCAGUGGGCAUGACAGCCUCAAACUUCUCUCUUCAAUAUUGAAGAAGCGGCUUACUCAGAUCAAUGGGCAUGCACUUAGAAAAAUAGCUAAAGAGUACGAGAUAUUCCUAGUGUAAAUAAAGGGCAUGCUGUGCUCAUAAGUUAGACAGAAGCAAAAUGUUAUUUAUUAUGCUCUUGUUGUAUCCUCGGACAUUUUCUUCCACCUACCUUGAAUAUCUACUUUCCCACCGUCGUACAGAAACUGAUGUUAUUAUUUGUGCA